GAGUUUGAUCGUGGCUCAGAUUGAACGCUGGCGGCAGGCCUAACACAUGCAAGUCGAGCGGUAGAGAGAAGCUUGCUUCUCUUGAGAGCGGCGGACGGGUGAGUAAUGCCUAGGAAUCUGCCUGGUAGUGGGGGAUAACGCUCGGAAACGGACGCUAAUACCGCAUACGUCCUACGGGAGAAAGCAGGGGACCUUCGGGCCUUGCGCUAUCAGAUGAGCCUAGGUCGGAUUAGCUAGUUGGUGAGGUAAUGGCUCACCAAGGCGACGAUCCGUAACUGGUCUGAGAGGAUGAUCAGUCACACUGGAACUGAGACACGGUCCAGACUCCUACGGGAGGCAGCAGUGGGGAGUAUUGGACAAUGGGCGAAAGCCUGAUCCAGCCAUGCCGCGUGUGUGAAGAAGGUCUUCGGAUUGUAAAGCACUUUAAGUUGGGAGGAAGGGCAGUAAAUUAAUACUUUGCUUGUUUGACGUUACCGACAGAAUAAGCACCGGCUAACUCUGUGCCAGCCGCCG
rnacentral:rRNA from 1 species